rnacentral:lncRNA from 1 species
UCUGCCUAUAGAGGCCUGGGGUCCCUUUGGCAGCACUUUUCUCAAGAAAGUAGAGUCGUGGACAACCAACUGCACAGGUUGGGAGGCUUUGAAGAACAAGCUGCCAUGAAUCCUGCAGCUACAAGGAAAUGAACUCUAUUAACUUGAGUGAGCUUAAAACUAGAUCCUUCCCCAGUCAAGCCUCCAGGUGAGAAUUCAAUCCUGGCUGGCACCUGGAUUGCAGCUUACAGAAGACCCAGCUAAGGCCAUGUCUGGACUUUAAAUCCACAGGAACUGCAAGAUGGUAUCAGAAGUGGGACCUGCAGUGGGGCAUCUAGCAACCCCCAGGAGCAUUGAGUGACCAGGCUUGGGACCCACCGGGCGCAGGGUGUCCAUUGUUCUCUCGAAGCAACUGAGAAUUGUGGAUAUUCUUCAUUAUUCCAUCAUCAUCUCAAACCUCUUGGGUAUAGUGUUUGACUACUACUGUGACCAUAAAUUCCAAUAAAACCUAGGAAAAAUGAAACCACUACAUUAACUGAAAGGCCAAAACAAGUUACAAGAUCAGACCAGACCCAUGGAGGUAGAGGAAGAUUCAACAUUUGAUGGCAGAGUGUCUUUGACAAAGUUACAGGAUCAAAAUUGAAAGGAGAGCUUUUGGAUUACAUGCUAGCCAAGCUAAUGCUGACUUCUGUUCAGAGAAAAUUUGGAUAUUUAUUCUUUACACUGAAGAUCCCGACUUCCAUUACACAGGUGAUUCUAUUUAAGAAAGAAAGAAAGAAAGAAAAAAGGGAUGAGAUGACAUUAUUGAGCUAAGAUGAAAAUCUGAAAAUUGUGAUAAAUACUCAUUUCAAACCUUCUACAAGAAACACAGUUAUGUGCCACUGCUAAUUAGUGCUGAAUAUUAGAGGAU